GACGAACGCUGGCGGCGUGCUUAACACAUGCAAGUCGAACGGAAAGGCCCUGCUUUUGUGGGGUGCUCGAGUGGCGAACGGGUGAGUAACACGUGAGUAACCUGCCCUUGACUUUGGGAUAACUUCAGGAAACUGGGGCUAAUACCGGAUAGGAGCUCCUGCUGCAUGGUGGGGGUUGGAAAGUUUCGGCGGUUGGGGAUGGACUCGCGGCUUAUCAGCUUGUUGGUGGGGUAGUGGCUUACCAAGGCUUUGACGGGUAGCCGGCCUGCGAGGGUGACCGGCCACAUUGGGACUGAGAUACGCCCCGGACUCCUACGGGAGGCAGCAGUGGGGAAUAUUGCACAAUGGGCGGAAGCCUGAUGCAGCAACGCCGCGUGCGGGAUGACGGCCUUCGGGUUGUAAACCGCUUUCGCCUGUGACGAAGCGUGAGUGACGGUAAUGGGUAGAGAAGCACCGGCUAACUACGUG
rnacentral:rRNA from 1 species